rnacentral:rRNA from 1 species
GAUGAACGCUGGCGGCGUGCUUAACACAUGCAAGUCGAACGGCGAAGGUGGAGCUUGCUCCGCCGGAUCAGUGCCGAACGGGUGAGUAACACGUGGGCAACCUGCCCACUAUCUUUGGGAUAACUACUCGAAAGAGUAGCUAAUACCGGAUACGACCCUCGGCGGCAUCGCCAGGGGGUGGAAAGAAUUUCGGUCAAGGAUGGACUCGCGGCCUAUCAGCUAGUGGGUGCGGUAACGGCUCACCAAGGCGACGACGGGUAGCGGGCCUGAGAGGGUGACCGGCCAAACGGGGGCUGAGACACGGCCCAGACUCCUACGGGAGGCAGCAGUGGGGAAUAUUGCACAAUGGGCGCAAGCCUGAUGCAGCAACGCCGCGUGAGAGAUGACGGCCUUCGGGUUGUAAGCCUCUUUUAGUAGGGAAGAGCGAAAGUGACGGUACCUGAAGAAAAAGCACCGGCUAACUACGUGCCAGCAGCCGCCGUAA